CUGAGUGGCAGACGGGUGAGUAUAAUGUGGGAAUCUGCCUUUUGGUUCGGAAUAACACGAGGAAACUUGUGCUAAUACCGGAUAAGCCCUUACGGGGAAAGUUUUAAUGCCAAAAGAUGAGCCCGCACUUGAUUAGCUAGUUGGUAAGGUAAUGGCUUACCAAGGCGACAAUCAAUAGCUGUUCUUAGAGGAAGACCAGCCACAUUGGGACUGAGACACGGACCAGACUCC
rnacentral:rRNA from 1 species